rnacentral:rRNA from 1 species
AUUGAACGCUGGCGGCAUGCCUAACACAUGCAAGUCGAGCGGAUGAAGGGAGUUUUCUCCUGGAUUCAGCGGCGGACGGGCGAGUAAUUCCCAGGAAUCUGCCUGGUAGUGGGGGAUAACGUCCGGAAACGGGCCGUAAGAUCGCAUACGUCCUGAGGUAUAAAGAGGGGGAUCUUCGGACCACACGCUAUCAGAUUAGCCUAGGUCUGAUUAGCUAGUUGGUGGGGUAAAGGCCUACCAAGGCGACGAUCCGUAACUGGUCUGAUAGGUUGAUGAGGAAAACUGGAACUGAGACAGGGUCCAACCUCCUACGGGAGGAACCGGUGGGGAAUAUUGGACAUUGGGGGAAAGCCUGAUCAAGACAUGCGGCGUGUGUGAAGAGGGUCUUCGGAUUGUAAACUCCGUUAAGUUGGGAGGAAGGGGAGUAAGUUAAUAAGUUGAUCUAGUGACGGUAACAACAGAAAAAGCGCCGGCUAACUUCGUG